GACGAACACUGGCGGCGUGCUUAACACAUGCCAGUCGAACGGAAAGGCCCUGCUUUUGUGGGGUGCUCGAGUGGCGAACGGGUGAGUAACACGUGAGUAACCUGCCCUUGACUCUGGGAUAACUUCAGGAAACUGGGGCUAAUACCGGAUAGGAGCUCCUGCUGCAUGGUGGGGGUUGGAAAGUUUCGGCGGUUGGGGAUGGACUCGCGGCUUAUCAGCUUGUUGGUGGGGUAGUGGCUUACCAAGGCUUUGACGGGUAGCCGGCCUGAGAGGGUGACCGGCCACAUUGGGACUGAGAUACGGCCCAGACUCCUACGGGAGGCAGCAGUGGGGAAUAUUGCACAAUGGGCGGAAGCCUGAUGCAGCAACGCCGCGUGCGGGAUGACGGCCUUCGGGUUGUAAACCGCUUUCGCCUGUGACGAAACGUGAGUGACGGUAAUGGGUAAAGAAGCACCGGCUAACUACGUG
rnacentral:rRNA from 1 species